AUUUAACUUUGAGUUUCUUUUUCUCUAGUCCUCACAUCUCACCUACAAACACAACACAAGUAGUAUCUCUCUUACUCUGUCAUUUUCUCUUCACUUUCCCUUCUCUUUUACUCAUUUCCCUUUUUUAUUUUCUCUCUCACCAAACCAAACACACACAUUUUCUCUCACUCUCACUCUACAAAGAAAGCUUAACUGUGAUGUGUGCUCAUUCUCCUCCUCACACAUUCACACUCUCUUUCUUCUCAACACUUUUCGUCGGUCACAGAUCACACUACAUUUUCAUCUUUCACUUCUUCACCUCAUUCUUAUUACCACUUUCUUCAUCUCACUUAUUCUUCUAUUUACUUCCAUUCAUUCUUUCACAGUAAUAGCCUCAAACUUCAUUCAUAAGAGCUCGGACCGGCCAGUUGGACCGGGAACCAGCCAU
rnacentral:lncRNA from 1 species